rnacentral:lncRNA from 1 species
GGAUAAGUCAUGUUAAUAAUAGUCAUGUGAAUUUGAUAUUCGUUCGGUAUUUUGAUAUGUUGUUUGUUGUUUUUCCUCUAGUGGUGUUAUGUGAACGUCGACUACAUAACACUUCGCCAUAUUUGGGCCUAGAGGAAGGCAUUAGGAAGUAGUAAGUAGAUGAUGGGUUGCUGGAGUGACAGAAGCUUAAACCCGAGUCUAUGCGUUGCUUCGUGAGGGACUGAUUUGGAUCCACUAGUUUAAUGCUAUGGUUAGACUUUUCCUUAAUUCUUCUUGUGUAGUUGCGGAUGCUAGCGAGAGAGGUUAAUCAUAAGUGGGAUGCUUGUCCAAGUAAGGGCAGUACCCAAGCGCCGGUCCACCCACAUAUGAACAUGAUGAAACUAGCAUGACAGAAAUUCCCGUGUGUCCUCAAGAGCGUUUUCCCUCCUAUAAGACUUUGUUCAGGCUUGUCCCUUGCUACAAAAGGGAUUGGGCCACUUGCUGCACCGUUGCUACUACUUGCUACCUGUUACUUUUUGCUCACUACAUUUCACCUCACCACAC